GAUGAACGCUGGCGGCGUGCCUAAUACAUGCAAGUCGAGCGAACGGACGAGAAGCUUGCUUCUCUGAUGUUAGCGGCGGACGGGUGAGUAACACGUGGAUAACCUACCUAUAAGACUGGGAUAACUUCGGGAAACCGGAGCUAAUACCGGAUAAUAUUUUGAACCGCAUGGUUCAAAAGUGAAAGGCGGCCUUGCUGUCACUUAUAGAUGGAUCCGCGCUGCAUUAGCUAGUUGGUAAGGUAACGGCUUACCAAGGCAACGAUGCAUAGCCGACCUGAGAGGGUGAUCGGCCACACUGGAACUGAGACACGGUCCAGACUCCUACGGGAGGCAGCAGUAGGGAAUCUUCCGCAAUGGGCGAAAGCCCGACGGAGCAACGCCGCGUGAGUGAUGAAGGUCUUCGGAUCGUAAAACUCUGUUAUUAGGGAAGAACAUAUGUGUAAGUAACUGUGCACAUCUUGACGGUACCUAAUCAGAAAGCCACGGCUAACUACGUG
rnacentral:rRNA from 1 species